AGUUCAUAGAUAGGACAUGAUUAAAAAAUUUUAGCCCCCAAACCAAUCUGUAAAAUUGUGGAUUGGAUAUGAAUUGGGUCAAAUCCACAUCUGAUCUGCAGACGUAUGGAUUGAAUUUGAACUGAAUUUAACUAAUCCGUGGAUUGGAUUAAAUUAAAAAUUAUAAUCCGUAAAAUCAUGAAUCGGAUAUGGAUUGACGUCUAAUCUACAAAAUUUGAUCCGCAAACACCCCUAAAAAGAGAUAAAGUCCAAAAAUUACAGUAAGAGUAAGGUGGCGAUUUUUUUAAUUAAAAGUAAAGUGAAGAUUAGAUGGAAUAAAUUGAGAGAAAAAUUAUUUUAAAAUUCUUAUUGAGAUUAAUUGAGAAGCGGGAGCUGACGAGAUAGACGUGAUAAAAUUGACAGUGAAUCACCAUCACUCAUUCGUUUUACCAUACAAACGCAACGGAACAUGUUAAAUGGGCCUGGUUAGGCUGGCCUUUGCACUCUCAGAAAUGAAUCCAGCUAAAGCCCAAAAAUUGUUGGGCAAUUAGAAAAAGCUUCAGCCGUUGGAAUACAAAAUCCAGAUCGACAUAUAAAUUGAAUUAAAAAAAUCAGUUGACUCGAAGAUAUCGAGAACCUUCAGAUAAUUUUUAUUAUGAAAAGAUUUAAGAUAAAAGGGUUCGUCUACGUUGCCACUGUUGUACUUUACCACAGUCUUUUAUCUUUUGUGAAUUAGUUAAUAUAAAAUUUUAUUGAACCCUUGCAUAGGGAUGGCAAUGGGCACCGCCCGCAGCGGGUUUGCCAUUACCAAACUCAAACCCGCACAAAAUUUAAAUUAUCAAACCCACCUACA
rnacentral:lncRNA from 1 species